UAAAAAAAAUCAUGCAUCUUUGAUGUUGCGGAUCUGGGUAUUUUGAUUUUAUAAAUCGAUUACCUAAAAUUAAUAUAUAUAUAUAUAAUGUGAAGCGUACUAAUUAAAUAGUUGCUAAUCAUUUAUAUUGUAUUACAUUACAACCGAGUAGGUGGUGAUGUAUAAAUUAUGAAAA
rnacentral:misc_RNA from 1 species